rnacentral:rRNA from 1 species
CCCUUAGAUGUUCUGGGCUGCACGCGUGCUACACUGAUGCAUUCAACGAGUCUAAAACCUGGUCUGAUAGGGCUGGGUAAUCUUUUGAAAGUGCAUCGUGAUUGGGAUAGAUGAUUGCAAUUCUUCAUCUUCAACGAGGAAUGCCUAGUAAACGCAAGUCAUAAGCUUGCGUUGAUUACGUCCCUGCCCUUUGUACACACCGCCCGUCGCUACUACCGAUUGAAUGGUUUAGUGAGGUCCUCGGACUAGUGGCGAUCGCUCGAGCUCUGCUCUGUGGUCGUUCUGCCGGGAAGACGAUCGAACUUGAUCAUUUAGAGGAAGUAAAAGUCGUAACA